GCAUUGGUGGUUCAGUGGUAGAACUCUUGCCUCCCAUGCUGGAGACCUGGGUUUGAUUCCUGGGCAAUACA
rnacentral:tRNA from 1 species